GCGACCGUGGUCUAGCCAACCUGCCAAAGGCGCGGGCUCUAGAGUGGUCUAGGACCCAGGCCCCCCAAGCCUGUGACCCGGGUGGCUACCGUAACCGAGGCCAGGGAAUUCAAAUCCCGGCGGUCGCACCA
rnacentral:tRNA from 1 species